rnacentral:rRNA from 1 species
UGACCCUACGGGGCGCAGCAGUGGGGAAUAUUGCACAAUGGGGGGAACCCUGAUGCAGCGACGCCGCGUGAGUGAAGAAGUAUUUCGGUAUGUAAAGCUCUAUCAGCAGGGAAGAAAAUGACGGUACCUGACUAAGAAGCCCCGGCUAACUACGUGCCUGCAGCCGCGGUAAUACGUAGGGGGCAAGCGUUAUCCGGAUUUACUGGGUGUAAAGGGAGCGUAGGCGGUAAUGCAAGUCAGAAGUGAAAGCCCGGGGCUCAACUCCGGGACUGCUUUUGAAACUGUGUUGCUAGAUUGCAGGAGAG